rnacentral:rRNA from 1 species
CUACGGAGGGGGUUAGCGUUGUUCGGAAUUACUGGACGUAAAGCGCACGUAGGCGGACUGGAAAGUUGGGGGUGAAAUCCCGGGGCUCAACCCCGGAACUGCCUCCAAAACUUCCAAUCUAGAGAUCGAGAGAGGUGAGUGGAAUUCCAAGUGUAGAGGUGAAAUUCGUAGAUAUUUGGAGGAACACCAGUGGCGAAGGCGGCUCACUGGCUCGAUACUGACGCUGAGGUGCGAAAGCGUGGGGAGCAAACAGGAUUAGAAACCCUAGUAGUCC